UAGGGAAUCUUCGGCAAUGGGGGGAACCCUGACCGAGCAACGCCGCGUGAGUGAAGAAGGUUUUCGGAUCGUAAAGCUCUGUUGUUAAGGAAGAACGAGUGUGAGAAUGGAAAGUUCAUGCUGUGACGGUACUUAACCAGAAAGGGACGGCUAACUACGUGCCAGCAGCCGCGGUAAUACGUAGGUCCCGAGCGUUGUCCGGAAUUAUUGGGCGUAAAGCGAGCGCAGGCGGUUAGAAAAGUCUGAAGUGAAAGGCAGUGGCUCAACCAUUGUAGGCUUUGGAAACUGUUUAACUUGAGUGCAGAAGGGGAGAGUGGAAGUCAAUGUGUAGCGGUGAAAUGCGUAGAUAUAUGGAGGAACACCGGUGGCGAAAGCGGCUCUCUGGUCUGUAACUGACGCUGAGGCUCGAAAGCGUGGGGAGCGAACAGG
rnacentral:rRNA from 1 species